rnacentral:rRNA from 1 species
GUAGGGAAUCUUGCGCAAUGGGCGAAAGCCUGACGCAGCCAUGCCGCGUGAAUGAUGAAGGUCUUAGGAUUGUAAAAUUCUUUCAGCGGGGACGAUAAUGACGGUACCCGCAGAAGAAGCUCCGGCUAACUUCGUGCCAGCAGCCGCGGUAAUACGAAGGGGGCUAGCGUUGCUCGGAAUUACUGGGCGUAAAGGGCGCGUAGGCGGAUGUUUAAGUCAGAGGUGAAAGCCCAGGGCUCAACCUUGGAACUGCCUUUGAUACUGAACAUCUUGAGUACGGGAGAGGUGAGUGGAACUCCGAGUGUAGAGGUGAAAUUCGUAGAUAUUCGGAAGAACACCAGUGGCGAAGGCGACUCACUGGCCCGUUACUGACGCUGAGGCGCGAAAGCGUGGGGAGCAAACAGGAUUAGAAACCCCAGUAGUCC